rnacentral:rRNA from 1 species
GACGAACGCUGGCGGCGUGCCUAAUACAUGCAAGUUGAGCGCUGAAGGUUGGUACUUGUACCAACUGGAUGAGCAGCGAACGGGUGAGCAACGCGUGGGGAAUCUGCCUUUGAGCGGGGGACAACAUUUGGAAACGAAUGCUAAUACCGCAUAAAAACUUUAAACACAAGUUUUAAGUUUGAAAGAUGCAAUUGCAUCACUCAAAGAUGAUCCCGCGUUGUAUUAGCUAGUUGGUGAGGUAAAGGCUCACCAAGGCGAUGAUACAUAGCCGACCUGAGAGGGUGAUCGGCCACAUUGGGACUGAGACACGGCCCAAACUCCUACGGGAGGCAGCAGUAGAGAAUCUUCGGCAAUGGACGAAAGUCUGACCGAGCAACGCCGCGUGAGUGAAGAAGGUUUUCGGAUCGUAAAACUCUGUUGGUAGAGAAGAACGUUGGUGAGAGUGGAAAGCUCAUCAAGUGACGGUAACUACCCAGAAAGGGACGGCUAACUACGUG